UACGUAGGGGGCAAGCGUUGUCCGGAAUCAUUGGGCGUAAAGCGCGCGUAGGCGGCCAGAUUAGUCCGGUGUGAAAGUCAGAGGCUCAACCUUUGAAUGCCGCUGGAAACUGUCUGGCUUGAGUCCGGAAGGGGCGAGUGGAAUUCCUGGUGUAGCGGUGAAAUGCGCAGAUAUCAGGAGGAACACCAAUGGCGAAGGCAGCUCGCUGGA
rnacentral:rRNA from 1 species